CGAGUGGGGCCCCUCCAUGGUUGAAAAGGGUAUCUGUUCGAGUUUUAAGUCAAAGAUGUAGCCUUUUUCAGUCAGACCCGCCGACCCUAUCAAACAAUAGGCAUUUGAUCGAAGAAUGGACAAUGGAAGAGAAAGAAUCGAGCGAUACUCGUUCUAAAAAGCCAAGGAUUGAGUUUGAGAAUCUUCUCCGGCUGAUCGAAUUUGUUGUACCCCAUGGAGAUAUUAUUCAAACACUUGGUAAAGUGUUUGUUGAUGCUGAGAUAUUCGGAGACUGAAGAUUAUCUUGGUUUUAAUCAUUUGGCCGAUGAGAUGGUGGUCCGUGCACAUAUAGUUUGUGAAUUUGGAAAUAGUGCUCUGACGUUUGUUUGUGUCUAAUACUUCUAUUGUUUGCCUACGAUUCUUUGAGUCUAUAAAGUUUCGAUUUUUUGUUAAAAAGGUCUCUAAUUUUUCAAUUAUUGUUUCUAAACCAAAUCCGUGAGCGUUAGAGAGUUCCAAUGGCUUUGUGGGUCGUUUUGCAUUUGACACCCCAUAUAAAUAGUUUGAAACCCCGUAUUUCUACCUCCCUAUUCAUAACCAUGCCCAAAGCUUUAGUAGGAGCCCCCGUCAUUAAAACCGAGGCUCUAGUUGAAGGUAAGCAACCCAAAAUCCAUCAUCUCCAGCGUUCUAGAAACUGUAUAUGAUAACUAAGGAAUUCAAACCCUCGAUUUUGAUUUUCUGACCAAUACGUUAGGGAAGAAGUUGCUAUUGAAGGGAAAACAUUACCCGAGUCGGAUUCGGAUCUCAGUGACUCAGUGAGUCCUAUUUAUAAACAAAAAUCCAGUCCUUGUAAUCCUGCAGUUCAUAUGCCCUUCUCACACGCAACACAAUCAAAUCUUCAUCUUCUUCAAUUUAUACACACAACAAUUGUCAGAUUCCAUCUAUGAUUAUCAGAUCCGAUCAUGGGUCACGUUGUGUUCUCAAUUUACUUAUUUAAAAACCCACAAUCGUACGAUCAUCGCACCACUGAUCUCAUCAAGAAUGCAAAAAGAUUACACUCAAUAUGAAAAAAAAAAUAAUCUUUUCAAUGUUAUUAUUCAUUCAUCUGAUUGUUCACAGGUGAGAAAAGUGGUAGACCUAGCAAGAGGAACAAAUAUUCAUCAAAGGUUAUUAUUCACAAUAAACCCUUCAUUUUUACUAUUAUCCUUACAUUUUAGUAUAUGGGAUUAGGUCAUUUGUCUAUUGAAUUUUCUUAUUGCUAUUGCAGAACCUGUCUGCAGGCUAUCCGUUGUACAUGUAGUUGAAGAUAAGCAGCCCAAAAUCCAUAAUCUCCACUGUUCUAGAAACUAUACGUAAUCAAAAAACAUAAUAAAAAGUCCCAUACUAAAGGGGAAGAAGUCGGCUAUAGAAUUUAGUAUCGACAAUCGACCCGAGUCGGAUUCGGAUCCACCGAUGUCAAUAACACAGUGAGUCCUGUUUAUAAACAAAAAUCCAGCCUUUUGUUACGGAGUAACUUCUAACUCACGUGUAGCGACUUAGACUUGAUCUAAGUUAAGUUUUUGUGCCCAACGAUUAUAAGGUUUUGUGGGAAUCAAGUGAUGAUUGCAAGUGUUGCUUUCAAAGAAACAACUUUGUAUUGAUUACAAGAUGUUUACAAAGGAGAGUUUAUAAGUACAAGUGUGAUAACUUGCUAA